ensembl:lncRNA novel transcript
GGGCAUACCGGCUUCGCUUGGCGCGGCUUGGCUGGUUGGCUUCGCUUGUUACUGGCUCUGACUUUGGAAACUGCGAAGUUUCCUGGUUGGAGGUGGUGGCUGACCAGAGUGGCUUGGUCUUACUGGGCCUCUGAGGCUGUGAUAGGCGGACUGGUGCUGAGGUGUCUCUGAUAGCCUCCGCCAUGAGGAGGAGCUCUGGCUUCGGGGGCCAGAAGGGCCAGGGGCCCUCCUGCUCCUUCACCGGCUGUUGGUGUUGCAGGGGGGACGAUGUCGCCGAGAGCGAUGACAGCCCCUUCGCCCAGUGCGGGUACAAUAUCCAAGAGAAACACCUCGGCAAGCUCCACAGAGCUGCCAGCCGGGGUGAAGUCUCCAAGGUGGAGUGCAUCCUUUCGAGCGGGAGCGCUGACUUGGAUGAGAGAGACAAGAAGAAAAGGACUGCUCUGCAUUUGGCCUGUGCCAACGGCCAUCCAGAAGUGGUAGCUCUUCUGGUGGACAGAGGAUGUCAACUUGAUGUCUUUGACAACAAAAACAGGACUGCUCUGCUAAAGGCGGUACAAUGCCAGGAAGAGGAAUGUGCGACUAUUUUGCUAGAACACGGAGCCGACCCAGACCUUCCAGAUGUCUAUGGCAAUACUACCUUACACUAUGCCAUCUACAAUGAGGAUAUCCCAAUGACAAAAAAACUGCUUUUACACCAUGCCAAUAUUGAAUCAGCAAACAAGGAUGAACUCACACCAUUUUUGCUAGCUGUACAUGAACAAAAACAGCAAAUGGAAGACUUUUUAAGAAAGCAAAAAGAAAAUUUAACUGCAGUUAAGCUUGAAAGCAUUCACCAAGUAAUGUCUGAAUACAAAGAAAAUGAGACACCUAGAAAUCCUCAAAAUAGCAAUCCAGAAGGAACAUCUAACAAGAUGGCGUGCUUGGGAGAAGGAGCAGCAGGUGCAAAAGUGGAUGAGAUUCCUGGAAAUCCUGUAAAAAGGCUUUUCAACAAACCAUCUAUUGACGACUCACGACCUAUGUCAGCUAAUGAAGACUUUGAUUUUGAUACUGAGGAGAAAGCAACAGAGCCAGCAAAUGGAAAAAGACAAAAUGGUAUGGGUAUUAUUGAGAGUGCUCCACAAGAGCACACAAAUAAUGAAAACAUUUAAUUUUGAUUCAGAAAUGUUCGAGGUGGUAAGUUAGUGAAUAUCUCUGAAAAACAGUGUAUAUUAAGUAUUUUCAGUAGAAAAACCACUGAACUAUAUAGAUCCAAACAUAAUAUUCAUUUCUUUUCCACAAUUUUUUUCUGUCUUUCUUUAUACUACCAACUUUUUCCUAAAACUACUUCAAUUCCUCAAUUCCCUGAAAUUCUUUUUCUUUUUCUUUUUGUUAUUACUUUUGUUUCACUGAAAUAUUUAUGGGUGAAGACAAACCUGUAUAGGUAUAUAAAAUUCAUAGUGAUAAAUUUUCUCAUGAAUGUAUCUGUGUAUAACAUUUUAUAGAUAUGCCAUUCACAGUAAAAUCAGGACAAAAGGAAGACAUGCAAUCACAUUUGGACAGCAAGCAGAACAAGUCUUAGCAGUGAUAUCAGAGGAAGAGCAAGAAAGACUUGAAGAAAGUGAAAACAACGAGCUACAAAUUUCUCAUGGGCAUAAGAAAGAAAAAGAUCUGUUGCAUAAAAAUUGCAUGUUGCAGGAAGAAAUUGCAAGGCUAAGACUGGAAAUAGAUGCACUGAAAAAUUGGAACCAGCAAAAGGAAAAGAAUUUUCUUGAGGACAUUAAAAUUGCGAAAGAAAAGAAUGAUUUCCUUCAAAAUGCUUUGAUGCUGAAAGAGGAAACAUUUGCAACAAUGAUAUUCCAGGACAGUAUACAGCCUGAAGUUUUGAAAGCUGAGAAUGAAAUGUCCAGUUUUAAAUUGAAGGAUAAAAGCCAAAACCAGGAGAGACUGGAAAGAGAAAUUGAAUCAUAUCGUUGUAGACUGGCUGCUGCUCUACAAGACCGUGAUCAAAGUCAGGCAUCAAAAAGAGAUGUAGAAUGUGAUUUCCAGAGGACAAGAGAAGAGUGGUUUCAUUUAAAGGAAAAAAUGAAUUUUGAUAUGAGUAACCUAAAAGAUAAGAAUGAGCUGCUUUCUGAAAAACUUUCUAAUGCUGAAAAUAAAAUCAGAAGCCUCAAAAUGAAGUGGCACCAGACAAAAGAUGCUCUAAAGGAAAAGACAUUGGUUUUAGAAGAUGUCCAAAGAGACCUAACCCAAUCACAAUGUCGGAGGAAAGAAAUUGAACAAAUGUUUCAGAAUGAAGAAGACAAAGUGAGUAAAUACAUUCAAAAGCAAGAAUCUCUAGAGGAGAGAUUAUCUCAAAUACAAAACGAAAAUCUGUUACUUCGACAGCAACUGGAUGAGGCUUACAAGAAAGCCGACAAUCAAGAAGAGACAAUAAUUAAUAUCCAAGAGCAAUUUAAUGCUAUUGUCAAAAAUCAAGCUCAGAGUGAAGAGCAAAGUCUUCUACUAGAGCAGAAAAACAACAACUUGAUCAAUAAAUGCGAUUUCAUAAAAAAAAGAUUGUAUAAAUAUGAAAAAGAGAAAGCAGAAAGAAAUGAAAUUAUGAGACAACUUCAACAAGAACUGGCUGAUACUGUAAAAAAACAACCUAUAUCAGAGCCUCCACUAGAGGCUACACCAUGUUAUGUUAAUUUAGAUGAAACACAGGCCUCAAAGAGGAAAUCAGAUCAAAUCAGAAGUCAAGCUGAUCUUACAGAAGCAGUGGAAACUGCAUCUUCAGAAGGUCUACAUGUGAAUGCAGAGAUUGAAGUUCUUCAACAGGCAUUAUUAUAUAUGAAAACAAUGCAAGAGAAACGUGAAACACUACAGAAGGAUCAGGAGAAGUUGGAAGAAGAACUAGUAAACCUCAAAAGUCACAUGGAAAUGAAUAUGUUAGAAUGUGGUCAAUUGGAACACUAUAAACAGGAGGUAGAAGAAAGAGCAAGGCAGGAGAUAGCAGAACAAUUAGAAAACAUUGGUCUACUUUUACAGUCACAGAAAAUAGCUCAUGACCAGUUACAGUUAAAAGAGGAAAGCAAUGCUACUAUGAAAAGUCAGAUGGAACUUAGAAUUAAAGAUCUGGAAUUCAAACUCUACAAAGCAAGAACUUCACAAGCGGACUGUAAUACAACAGAAUUGGAAAAAUAUAAGGAGCUGUAUCUAGAAGAAUUAAAACUUAGAGAAUCUUUGUCAGAUGAACUAAACAAGCGUAAAGAAAUUCUAGCAGAUGUCAGUACCAAACUUCUUCAAGAAAAAGAGUGGAGCAGAUCUUUAUUUACUUCUCAUACUACAAGGCCAGUCCUAGAGUCAGCAUGCAAUGGAAAUCUUAAUGAAAAUUUAGGUCUCAGCAGAAUACAUAUUCCAAGAGAAGCCUUAAGAAUUCCUACCUUAAACUCAUUGUCUUCAAAUAUCAGAAUGGAGAGCGACUUGUCAAAGGAAGACAAGAAUGGAGGACACUUUCUGGAACUCCAGGCUUGACAACAUCUCUCGGUGUUGUGACUCGCAUCCUGUUGUGAGCAGUUAUGGUGCCAGGGAUCACCAGGUGGGUCCACUAUUCCAAGGUAAAGCUGUAUGACUCAUCUCUGGCAGAGGAAGUCGUAAAGGUCCCACUGGACACCUGGACCACUGAGCCCCUCCAGGGUCUCAAACUCCUCUUCAAGCAAAGCCAAAAGAAUAAAGAUAAGUAAAUUAGUAAUGCUUUGGAUUGUUAUACCAUGAAUCGUAAUACUCCUUGCAGGUUUACUAAUAUGUCUUUGCUACUGUGAACCAAUACCACCCCCCACCCACUGCCAGGAAAAGGUCUGUUCUUCCCUACCUGGAUUUAAAUCUCAAAGCAAUAAUCUGGGUGGUGUUCUCUCUAAUACUCACUGAGUUAACAAGUUCUUUUUCCAUAAUCAACAGACAUCU